UACGGAGGGAGCUAGCGUUGUUCGGAAUUACUGGGCGUAAAGCGCGCGUAGGCGGCUUUGUAAGUUAGAGGUGAAAGCCCGGAGCUCAACUCCGGAACUGCCUUUAAGACUGCAUCGCUUGAAUCCAGGAGAGGUGGGUGGAAUUCCGAGUGUAGAGGUGAAAUUCGUAGAUAUUCGGAAGAACACCAGUGGCGAAGGCGGCUCACUGGACUGGUAUUGACGCUGAGGUGCGAAAGCGUGGGGAGCAAACAGG
rnacentral:rRNA from 1 species